rnacentral:rRNA from 1 species
CCCGGGCCUUGUACACACCGCCCGUCACGUCAUGGAAGUAGAUGGUACCAGAAGCGGGUAGUUUAACCGAAAGGGGACGCCUGCCACGGUAUGAUUUAUGACUGGGACG